rnacentral:tRNA from 1 species
GCCCCAGUAGCUCAGUUGUAUAGAGCGUCCGCCUCCUAAGCGGAAGGUCGGAGGUUAGAGUCCUCUCUGGGGUGCCA